AAACACAAAAAAAAUUACUGGAGGUAUGGGGAAUCGAACCCCAGACUUCUCGCAUGCAAAGCGAGCGCUCUACCCCUGAGCUAUACCCCCGCAC
ensembl:ncRNA F15G9.8 ncRNA